CCCUCCUAGCUUAAUGUUAUUAAAGCACUAGUUUGAAGAGCUGGGGAUACCUCUGUGUGGCGGGA
rnacentral:tRNA from 1 species